UGGGGAAUAUUGCACAAUGGGCGCAAGCCUGAUGCAGCCAUGCCGCGUGUGUGAAGAAGGCCUUCGGGUUGUAAAGCACUUUCAGCGAGGAGGAAGGUGGUGAACUUAAUACGUUCAUCAAUUGACGUUACUCGCAGAAGAAGCACCGGCUAACUCCGUGCCAGCAGCCGCGGUAAUACGGAGGGUGCAAGCGUUAAUCGGAAUUACUGGGCGUAAAGCGCACGCAGGCGGUUUGUUAAGUCAGAUGUGAAAUCCCCGGGCUCAACCUGGGAACUGCAUUUGAAACUGGCAAGCUAGAGUCUCGUAGAGGGGGGUAGAAUUCCAGGUGUAGCGGUGAAAUGCGUAGAGAUCUGGAGGAAUACCGGUGGCGAAGGCGGCCCCCUGGACGAAGACUGACGCUCAGGUGCGAAAAGCGUGGGGAGCAAACAGGAUUAGAUACCCCUGGUAGUCCACGCUGUAAAACGAUGUCGAUUUUGGAGGUUGUGCCCUUGAGGCGUGGCUUCCGGAGCUAACGCGUUAAAUCGACCGCCUGGGGAGUACGGCCGCAAGGUUAAAACUCAAAUGAAUU
rnacentral:rRNA from 1 species